rnacentral:rRNA from 1 species
GACGAACGCUGGCGGCGUGCCUAAUACAUGCAAGUCGAACGAACCGCGACUAGGUGCUUGCACUUGGUCAAGGUGAGUGGCGAACGGGUGAGUAACACGUGGGUAACCUACCUCAUAGUGGGGGAUAACAGUCGGAAACGACUGCUAAUACCGCAUAGGACAUAGGGUCACAUGAUCCAGUGAGGAAAGGUGGCGCAAGCUAUCGCUAAGAGAUGGACCCGCGGUGCAUUAGCUAGUUGGUAGGGUAAAGGCCUACCAAGGCGAUGAUGCAUAGCCGACCUGAGAGGGUGAUCGGCCACAUUGGGACUGAGACACGGCCCAAACUCCUACGGGAGGCAGCAGUGGGGAAUCUUCCGCAAUGGACGCAAGUCUGACGGAGCAACGCCGCGUGAGUGAAGAAGGUCUUCGGAUCGUAAAGCUCUGUUGUUAGAGAAGAACAGCGCAUAGAGUAACUGUUAUGCGUGUGACGGUAUCUAACCAGAAAGCCACGGCUAACUACGUG